rnacentral:rRNA from 1 species
CCCUUAGAGUUUGAUCCUGGCUCAGAAUGAACGUUGGCGGCGUGGAUUAGGCAUGCAAGUCGAACGGGCCCGGUCUUCGGACCGGGUCAGUGGCGCAAGGGUGAGUAAGGCGACGGUAACCAACCCCAUGGUUGGGCAUAGCCGCGGGAAACUGCGGGUAAUUCCCAGCGACGUCCCGGGCGGGCAUCCGCCGGGGACCAAAGUUCCAACGCCGUGGGACGGGCCGUCGUGGUAUUAGGUCGUUGGCGGGGUGAUGGCCCACCAAGCCUCUGAUGCCUACCGGGCGUGCGAGCGUGGCCCGGCACACUGGGACUGAGACACUGCCCAGACUCCUACGGGAGGCUGCAGUCGAGAAUCUUCGGCAAUGGGCGCAAGCCUGACCGAGCGACGCCGCGUGGAGGAUGAAGGCCUUCGGGUUGUAAACUCCUGUCGAGGGGGAGGAAGGCCGGGUCACACCGGCUUGACCGAUCCCUGGAGGAAGCACGGGCUAAGUUCGUGC